rnacentral:pre_miRNA from 1 species
GGACUACUCCAUCCGUUCCGUAAUUCUUGUCGAAAAAUAUUACAUGUGUCUAGACAUUUUUUAGUAAUAUAUACAUCCAUUUUUGGACAAAUUUGAGACAAGAAUUAUGGAACGGAGGUAGUAGAUC